GGGUGUCAGGGUAAUGAUGCAGAUCUGGAUGCAAAUCUUUUUUUUCUGGGAAGCAGGUUAGAGGAUUUAUAUUUUAGCCCUUCCCUUUCCACAUCUUUUGGCUUCCAGCCAUGACUGAACAGGCGAAAAUAAAAAGCCCUGUAAAGGGCAAAGGAGAAAGAGUGAAAAGCUCAUAGGAAACCUUUUCUUUAUGGAUUUCCAGAGGAGCAUCAAAUAUGGAGUCAAUUAUAAAUGUGAUUUUAAAUAAAAAAUGCAUGAGUUUUUAACAGCCCACAGCUUUUAACAGCCCACAGCUUUUUGGAAAAAUUAUACAAUAAAGAAGUUUCUAACCCUGAUCCUCCUGGAUUCAGACAUGUAGUAUUUGGUGUUUGGAGAACAGGAAAAGGAAGAAGAGAAUUUGAAGAAUUAACCAUGUGCUCUUCAGUUUUGACACCUGGAUUUGGAGCAUUCAGGGCUGAACAACCCAUGUGUUAGAGCGAUGAAAUAAAAGAGAACGGACACAGCCUUCAGAAGUAUGAAGAAACUGAGUCUAUAGAAAUCAGAAAACUAGCAGCACAAUUAUACAGAAUGAAGACUAAAGAUACGUCUCAGGCUCCAAAUGAAGUUCCUAAUUGUCAUGAUUUUGUAAUUUUGCUAUUGGUAUUCCACAUCAUAACAUCAUGUACAGCACAGGUAAUUAAAGGGUUAAUACUCCAGUUCUGUGGAUUGGCAACCUACCAGAUAUCUGCUUCUCAAAAGAGAAGAAGAACUACAUAUUCCAGAGGACCUCACAAUCAGAGAAGGAAGAUGAUAUGCCACGGAAGUCACAGGAUCUAAGUCAUGGGAUCUGGCUCUCGCUCUCUCUCACUGCCAGGAAGAGGGGUGGGUGUGCUUCCAAGCCGUACACCUUCAUUCAAGUAGGCCUUUCAGUUUCAGAAACUUUCUCUCUCAUUUUAUUUGAUUUUUUGGCCUCAUUUCCAAUUAGACUGUAUUAUAUUGUGUUAUCUUGCAUUCAAGUAUCAUAGUAAAAUAAGUUUUCCUCCUUAGAUCGUUGCCACUGCUCCAUUCUUUUCCCUCUCCGAGCCCAGUUCCCGUUCCCCUACCCCUUUCCCUUUUCCCUUCCCAUUUUUGGGACCCAGGGGGUCCACGGGCCUACUGCCCCCCGUCACAGGCAUAGGUUGAUCUAGAUAACUCUGUGACACUAGUGAAACAUUUAAGGAUUUUCAGUUAUAAUGUUUUCACUGUCUUAAAUAAAUUAACCACAUGGAAAAUACCAUCACAUAAGUUUCUUAGACUUUAUCAGUAUUGAAAUAGCAUUGCAGAAAAGAAAGUAGAAAAUGCAUAGUGUAAAUACAUCUGACAUCCUCGGCCUCAAUCUUACAUGCUCCAGUUCAUCCUGUUGUGCUAUCAUUCCUUACUCAGACUUUUUAAAAAGGUGAAAUUGGUGCAUCUAAAUAUUGCUGAUCGUUCUUUUCUGUUUAAAAUAUAAGACAAAGUUGACAUUUCUGAUUUAUUUUUUCUCUACUACAUUUGCUUGAUGUAUUUUCAACUUUCUUCUUCUUACAUUCAUGGCUUGGCAAUCACAAUUUUCAUAGCUCAAACUGAAACAAAAGAACCUCCCUAAACUAAUAAAAAACACUUCUUCAGAGAACAGUUUUGACUUUGUAGUCAAAAUUAAGUACGCUAAUAUUAGCCCUGACUGCAAAACUUAAUUGCUUCUUUCCAUUCACGUGUCAGGUCAAAUUCUGGCCACUCUAAUUACAUUAUCAUCUACUGAUUGGUUGGUUGGUUAUUACAGAUGCUUACUGUCUUAUUCUGUGCAUAAAAUGGACAGAGCUUAAUGAACAACUAACUAUUUAAUAUUUUGGUUUCCACUCAUCAUUCAAAGUUAGUUUCUGCUGCACACUGUUAAAGUCCACUCUGAAGAGAGAAUUAGUAAAUCUCCUGGGUUUUGCUGUCAUUCUCAUCGCUAUAAUGUCUGAACACCUCUGAAAUAGCAAUAAAUUUUCUUUUGCAAGGUGC